rnacentral:tRNA from 1 species
GCCAGCAUGGUGUAGUGGACUGAGUGUUGGACUACAACUCUGGAGACCAGGGUUUGAUUCCCUGAUCAGUCA